AAAUGGGCUUCCCUACCUGAUCCGAGGUCACCUGGGAUAAAAAUUUGGGGUUGAUCGGCAAGCGCCGGCCGGGCCUACAGAGCGGGUGACAAAGCCCCAUACGCUCGAGGACCGGACGCGGUGCCGCCGCUGCCUUUCGGGCCCGUCCCCCGGGAUCGGAGGACGGGGCCCAACACACAAGCCGUGCUUGAGGGCAGCAAUGACGCUCGGACAGGCAUGCCCCCCGGAAUACCAGGGGGCGCAAUGUGCGUUCAAAGACUCGAUGAUUCACUGAAUUUGCAAUUCACAUUACGUAUCGCAUUUCGCUGCGUUCUUCAUCGAUGCCGGAACCAAGAGAUCCGUUGUUGAAAGUUUUAAAUAAUUUAUAUUUUCACUCAGACUACAAUCUUCAGACAGAGUUCGAGGGUGUCUUCGGCGGGCGCGGGCCCGGGGGCGUAAGCCCCCCGGCGGCCAGUUAAGGCGGGCCCGCCGAAGCAACAAGGUAAAAUAAACACGGGCGGGAGGACGUCGGAUCAGGGCGGGAGACCCGGUGAGCUUCAGCAGAUCGAUAAGCGGAAGAAAGCCCUCUGGGUCCAACCUCCCCCGUGUUUAUUUUACCUUGUUGCUUCGGCGGGCCCGCCUUAACUGGCCGCCGGGGGGGCUUACGCCCCGGGCCCCCCCCCCAACCCCCCUCUUUGUUUUUUCUGUGGCUCUCUCGCCUGGGGUGAUUAUUAUUUUUUUUUUUUCACCUUUCUCCCCCGGAUUCUCUUGGGUUUCGGCCCCAUUGUGUAUUCCGGCUCCUUGUCUGUUGUUUCUGGUGAAAGUUGCAAUUUUCACUGUGUACAUGUAG
rnacentral:misc_RNA from 1 species